UUAGCAUGGAAUAAUGGAAUAGGACUUUGUUUCUAUUUUGUUGGUUUGCAGGAACGAAGUAAUGAUUAAUAGGGAUAGUUGGGGGCAUUAGUAUUCCAUUGUCAGAGGUGAAAUUCUUGGAUUUAUGAAAGACUAACUUCUGCGAAAGCAUUUGCCAAGGAUGUUUUCAUUAAUCAAGAACGAAAGUCAGGGGAUCGAAGACGAUCAGAUACCGUCGUAGUCUUGACCAUAAACUAUGCCGACUAGGGAUCGGGCGAUGUUAUUUAUUGACUCGCUCGGCACCUUAUGAGAAAUCAAAGUUUUUGGGUUCCGGGGGGAGUAUGGUCGCAAGGCUGAAACUUAAAGGAAUUGACGGAAGGGCACCACCAGGAGUGGAGCCUGCGGCUUAAUUUGACUCAACACGGGGAAACUCACCAGGUCCAGA
rnacentral:rRNA from 1 species